UUACACAUAACGGAGGAAAGAAACUAACAAGGAUUCCCCUAGUAACUGCGAGUGAAGCGGGAAAAGCUCAAAUUUAAAAUCUGGUGGUCUUUGGCCAUCCGAGUUGUAAUUUAGAGAAGCGUCUUCCGCGCUGGACCGUGCACAAGUCUCCUGGAAUGGAGCGUCAUAGAGGGUGAGAAUCCCGUCUUUGGCACGGACACACCAGGGCUUUUGUGAUGCGCUCUCGAAGAGUCGAGUUGUUUGGGAAUGCAGCUCAAAAUGGGUGGUGAACUCCAUCUAAAGCUAAAUAUUGGCGAGAGACCGAUAGCGAACAAGUACCGUGAGGGAAAGAUGAAAAGCACUUUGGAAAGAGAGUGAAACAGUACGUGAAAUUGUUGAAAGGGAAACGCUUGAAGUCAGUCGCGUUGACCGAGACUCAGCCUUGCCUCGGCUUGGUGUACUUCUCGGCUGACGGGUCAACAUCAAUUUUGCCCCUUGGAUAAUGGCAAGGGAAAUGUGGCACCUUUACGGUGUGUUAUAGUCUCUCGUCGCAUGCAAGGGUUGGGAUUGAGGAACUCAGCACGCGCCUUUGGGCGUCGGGGCUUUGCCCACGAUACGUGCUUAGGAUGUUGGCAUAAUGUCUUUAAACGACCCGUCUUGAAACACGGACCAAGGAGUCUAACAUGCCCGCGAGUGUUCGGGUGGAAAACCCGUGCGCGCAAUGAAAGUGAAAGUUGGGACCUCUGUCGUGGAGGGCACCGACGCCCGGACCAGACCUUCUGUGACGGUUCUGCGGUAGAGCGUGUAUGUUAGGACCCGAAAGAUGGUGAACUAUGCCUGAAUAGGGUGAAGCCAGAGGAAACUCUGGUGGAGGCUCGUAGCGAUUCUGACGUGCAAAUCGAUCGUCAAAUUUGGGUAUAGGGGCGAAAACUAAUCGACCACUAGACUUCGAGAA
rnacentral:rRNA from 1 species